rnacentral:rRNA from 1 species
AUACGUAGGGAGCGAGCGUUGUCCGGAAUUACUGGGUGUAAAGGGAGCGUAGGCGGGAGUGCAAGUCAGAUGUGAAAUACAUGGGCUCAACCCAUGGGCUGCAUUUGAAACUGCAUUUCUUGAGUGAAGUAGAGGUAAGCGGAAUUCCUGGUGUAGCGGUGAAAUGCGUAGAUAUCAGGAGGAACACCGGUGGCGAAGGCGGCUUACUGGGCUUUUACUGACGCUGAGGCUCGAAAGCGUGGGGAGCAAACAGGAUUAGAUACCCUGGUAGUCCACGCUGUAAACGAUGAUUACUAGGUGUGGGGGGACUGACCCCUUCCGUGCCGCAGUUAACACAAUAAGUAAUCCACCUGGGGAGUACGGCCGCAAGGUUGAAACUCAAAUGAAUCGACGGGG